UACGGGGGGGGCAAGCGUUGUUCGGAAUUACUGGGCGUAAAGGGCUCGUAGGCGGCCAACUAAGUCAGACGUGAAAUCCCUCGGCUUAACCGGGGAACUGCAUCUGAUACUGGAUGGCUUGAGAUUGGGAGAGGGAUGCGGAAUUCCAGGUGUAGCGGUGAAAUGCGUAGAUAUCUGGAGGAACACCGGUGGCGAAGGCGGCAUCCUGGACCAACACUGACGCUGAGGAGCGAAAGCCAGGGGAGCAAAGCAGG
rnacentral:rRNA from 1 species